GUCGUUAGCUCAGUUGGUAGAGCAGUUGACUUUUAAUCAAUUGGUCGCAGGUUCGAAUCCUGCACGUG
rnacentral:tRNA from 1 species